GUUGAUAUGUGUAGCAUUAGUAUUAUUGCGACACCUUGACGUUAUGGAAUUUUCCUGAAAUUAAAUAAACGUAUCAUCGGUAAAUGAUUGUUACUACUAAAUAUGUUGCAUUACAAGUUUAAUUUUGAAAUUGAAAACAUUAAACAGCUACAUACGCAUCAGAAUUUGGAGUUGUAUAAAGACGAUGGGACUCGGAUUAAUUCUUAAGGAAAAUUAGAAGUACAUCAUUUUUAUCAGAUAAGUUCUAACAGUGCGGAAGAUUAAACAAUUCUCAGAGCAUGGGUGCAUACAAUACGUCCAAACGAUACAAAACAACAAACGAGGAACAGGAGUUUCAACUGAUCAAGAUUUUUAUUUACAAUGGUUCUCUCUAACGCAUUUUCGAAGCUGUAAAUAUGAAUGAAAGGUACAUAACUAUGCACAACAUAUUAUAAUACAUGAUUUAAUAACGACUGUUACGUCUAAACUCUGAAAUAACUAUUAAUCCUUGUCUAUCAAUACUGAUUGGUGUAUUCAAUAACAAUGCCUUACUGCACAGUUUGUCAUGUAUCUGUAGAUAAUAAUCGUCAGUG